rnacentral:lncRNA from 1 species
ACUUUUAUCAGAUUGCAAACUUUCCCGGAGUUGUGGGGGUGAUCGACGGAACGCACGUUCAGAUUCAAGCCCCAACAGUAAACGAAAAUGAGUUUGUAAACCGGCAUCACUACCACAGCAUCAAUACACAGAUCGCUUUCGAAAGCGAAGACAGGAUAAUUGACGUUGUCGCUCGGUAGCCUGGAUCGACACACGAUUCACGCAUAUUGACCAACAGCCGUCUCUACCAGUUGUUCGACCGGAAUGUUGUCCCCAUCGGAUGUCACCUUCUCGGUGACAGUGGUUACCCCUGUAAGAAGUGUCUACUAACCCCUUUCCUAAGACCAUUGGCAGGAUCACAAACAAACUACAACAGAUCGCAUAAAAGAACAAGGAGCAGUGUUGAGAGGGCCAUUGGCCAAUUCAAGCGCAGAUUUCCUGUUCUUCAUGGGGAAAUCAGGUUAAAACCUGAGAAGGCUUGCAAGGUGAUCAUAGCAUGUGCUGUCCUUCACAACAUAUGCAAGGACAGGAACAUUCCAUUACCACCCACAGAUGGGCAUGAUGGAUUUGGAAGGCAUGAUGAGCAGAAUGGAGGUCUACCAGGAAUCACUCCACCAGUGGCUGCACUGAGAUAUAGGGAGCAUUUUGCCAAUACAAACUUUCCAUCUGCAAUUUCUGUUUUAACAGAGCUUCCACUGUGUGGCAUCCUGGAGCAUCUGGAUGGACUGCUGGCUCCUCAGGACCCAUUCUGGCUCCCUCUGGCUGUGGAUUGGGG